rnacentral:rRNA from 1 species
UACGUAGGCAGCAAGCGUUGUUCGGAGUUACUGGGCGCAAAGGGGGUGUAGGCGGUUCUUUAAGUUUGGGGUGAAAUCUCCCGGCUCAACCGGGAGGGUGCGCCGAAUACUGAGGGACUAGAGUGUGGGAGAGGAAAGUGGAAUUCCUGGUGUAGCGGUGAAAUGCGUAGAUAUCAGGAGGAACACCGGUGGUGUAGACGGCUUUCUGGACCAUAACUGACGCUGAGACACGAAAGCGUGGGUAGCAAACAGG